CUGCAUCGUGACCCCAUCCCUAAUCACCAUAGAACUAAAAUUUGUGCAAAGUGGCAUGUCUUUAUUGGUGAAGCAGUCAGUGUGACCCUGUAACUUGGGAUUGUUGUUCAUGUAUUCUGGUCUGAGAACUAUAAUUACCACUUUUUGGAGGGAAAUUCUAUUAUCUCGUUGUUACAAAGAACUUGCUCAAAGUGAUGCACACAACCUGUUCGACACAUUGUCUGAGAGACGAAUUCAUUCGAAGGUGAUGUCUGAGUAACCGAGCGACAUUAGGAAAUGUGUCGAAGUAAAUUGGGGUUGUUCUGGUGAGUUUUAAAGCGUUCUCUUCGUAUUGCUUGAACUGUUCAUUGCAAUUAAUGAAAUAAGUGAUCUUUCGGCAUCAAAGUGUUAACGCGUCUUGAGAAUGAUUUUAUUUCAUCACUGCUUAACUAACUGUACUUAGGCUCCUAAAGAAAAUUGAAACAUGAAAAGAAUUGGAUGCAAUGAGAUUUGGAUGUCAAUACGAGACCAGAGAUAAUUUAAUUAUGCUACUGGAAUGUUAUUAUUGUGAGGUGCUAGUGUAACUUGAAAGUUCCUAGAAUGGGCAAAAAGUUGAAACUUUGUGGAAAUGUUAUGAUUCUAAGAAUUGAGUUUCAUUUUGCAAGUGGUAGCAUUGUUCUUGUGGCUCGACAAGUCUUGAAUGUGAUGGCAUGGAUCGGUUUUAACUUUCAAAGCUUUAAACUAUGAUUACAGAGGUGCUAAACUGGCAUAGUGAAUAAACACUUCAGCUGGUACUUUUUGAUAUAGGAUGACUUCUAGUCAAUCCGAGAAAGCUCAAGGAGGCGCAGAACAAUUUUCUCACCCUUAUGCUCGAGUUUCAUGACACCAUCUUUUCAGGGAGUCCCUUCUAACUUGAGCUUUAUUUUAUUUAGUUACGUUGAGGACAAUGCAACAUUUUUAGUGGGGGUGACUCAUUUAUUUGUAAUAAUGUAUGGUGAUAUGGUUGGCGGACUUGAUGGAUUUGGUAGAUUAACUUUUAGUUUUGUUAUUUUUGUUUUUGUGUCAUGUUUAUUUUAGUAUGAUUUGUUUUUCAUUACUAGCUUCUUUAGUUUUUUUUUUUUUUUUUUUUUUUUUUUUUUUUAAAUAUCCUUGGCUUUUCUUUGUGCCGCGGUUCUUUUUCCAAGGAGGCUAAUUUUCUUUUGAACCGGGUGUUUUUGGGUAGAUUUUGUGGUGUGAGUUGUGAUGUUUGCCCCUCCGCCAAUUUGUGGUUUUCUUGGUACCAACAUGAUUUAAACCAUGGCAUGUGAGUUCUUGAAAAAAAAAAUUAUUGAAGUGAUAAUUCUUGUUCUGACCUUUAGACUCAAUUCUUGGCUCUUUCUUUCACUAAUUAGUCUAUUUAGAUUAAAAGUGACUUUUUGAGUUCAUUUGUUUCAAUUGAUUUUGGAGACAUCUUCUACAUGAGUUUCAUGCCAUGUGUGGUGAGGUUUAUUUGUGAGUUCUUUUGCAUUAUUUUUGGUCUAGAACUUGCCCGGAAUGUGUUUCACAGCAAAAUUCUAGACUAACUUGGUUUGAAAAAUGAUGUUAGGCCUUCCUUGGACCAUUUUUGUACCUUAAAUUUCCUACCCUUGCAUAUUUUCCCUAGUCAAUCCCUUUGAGCCUUUAACCUUUUCUUUGGCAACCAUGUUACAAGCUUUACCUUUUUGUUCUUCAAUGGUUCUAUCUUUUGGCACCCUAUCCCCCUAAGUGCUUUAAAAGUGAAAAUAUAGGCGAAAAGCCUAAGUUUGGGGAUGUGGUUGGAAAAAGUUGCGAUGCGGGAGUUGCUUGAAACAUGAAUAGGUGAAAAAAAAAAGAUGAAAAAAAGUGAAACCUUCCUUUUUUUUUUAAACAAAAAAACAACAAAAGGAAUGAAGAAAAGGAAGGAAGAAUAAAGAGUUGUGAAUAAAUGGAAGACUAGGUGUUUAAAAAAAAAAAAAAAAGAUGAAGCAAAGGUUGAUAAAGUCUUGAAAGGAAGUUUACUUUGAAUUGUUGCAAUUGGUAGUGCUUAGGGAGGUUUUGAGUCACUAUUUUCAAAUUAUGCCCCUACCUUAACCCAACGCCUACAUGACAACCCUUUAAGUCCUAAUUAAUUUUGAACCAAGUGUGUCUACAUUAGUGGAGAAAUACAUGAAGGGCAAGCCUAUGGUUCUACGUGUAUGCAUUUAAACAUCUUUGUGAGAGAGAGUUAAUUCUUUCUAUUUGAUAUCUCAUUUGUGUUUUGAAUACAUUUUCUAAGUGUGGGAUUCUCUCUUGAGUUUGAGGGCACAUGAGAAUUUGAGUUGUGAAUUUUUUCCAUUUUUCAAUUGAGAGAAAUGAACAAAAGAAAGUAGUUUUGUGAUAAUGAGGCAAAUUUUGAAGCUUUAGUGUCAUGACCUUAUUGCUACUUUGAUUAACUUGGUGUUUGAGCACUUCAAAUGAAAAUGAAGUUUUUGAGAAGAAGUUGGUGAUUCAUAUGUUGUGGAUUAAUUGUUGGCACCAAUCACAGUCAUGUGUUUAUACUUAAAGUAGACUUUUUAACUUGAUAUGAUGUUGGCGCACUUUUGAAUUUAGUCCUUUGAAGGAAAUUGUAUGUUUUGAUUUGCUUGAGGACAAGCAAAGGUUUAAGUUUGGGGGUUUGAUAAGUCGGUAGUUUUACCAACUUAUCUCUUCUUUAUGCUUAGAAUUUUGUUAUGUUUGAUUGAAAAAAUAGUGCAUUUACUAUGGUUUGCUUAGGUUCAUAUGGUUGACAAGAGCUUUGGAAGAAACCAAGUGAAAAACAAGUCAAAAAGAGACCAAAUUGUAGAAAAUGAAAAAAGUGGCUAAAAAUGGCCAGAAAUACAAAUUCGAAAAUCUAGAAAAUGUGGAGGUUGUUUUUGUCAUUUUUUGUGAGAAAAUUGGGGGAACUACAAAAGCAAGACAUGGAGACAUUAUUCUCAUCUUUGGCCAUAUUUCCAAGCCUUGGAAGCUAGGUUCUUCGACCAACACUUUGGAAGAGAAGAUUGGAGCACCUUAAUGAGCAAACUCUUAAUCCUUUCUUCAAUUCCUUGUUAUGUAUUGCAUAUUUAAGUGUGUUGUAUUUAUUCUCUCACUUGAAUCUUGUUCAUAAGAAUAUUCAUUAUCAAGUGUUGAAUUAAAUCUCUUGUUUUGCUUA